rnacentral:rRNA from 1 species
GACGAACGCUGGCGGCGUGCUUAACACAUGCAAGUCGAGCGGAAAGGCCACUUCGGUGGUACUCGAGCGGCGAACGGGUGAGUAACACGUGAGUAAUCUGCCCUUGGCUUUGGGAUAGCCACCGGAAACGGUGAUUAAUACCGGAUAUGACCACUUCUCGCAUGGGAUGGUGGUGGAAAGUUUUUCGGCCAGGGAUGUGCUCGCGGCCUAUCAGCUUGAUGGUGAGGUAAUGGCUCACCAUGGCUUCGACGGGUAGCCGGCCUGAGAGGGUGACCGGUCACACUGGGACUGAGACACGGCCCAGACUCCUACGGGAGGCAGCAGUGGGGAAUAUUGGACAAUGGGCGGAAGCCUGAUCCAGCAACGCCGCGUGAGGGAUGACGGCCUUCGGGUUGUAAACCUCUUUCGCCUAUGACGAAGCGCAAGUGACGGUAAUAGGUAAAGAAGCACCGGCCAACUACGUGCCAGCAGCCGCAGUAAUAC